rnacentral:rRNA from 1 species
GAUCAAGCUACAAAGGGCGCACGGUGAAUGCCCUGGCACUAGGAGCCGAUGAAGGACGUGAUAAGCUGCGAUAAGCUACAUGUAGGCGCACAUAGCCUGUGAUAUGUAGAUUUCCGAAUGGGGAAACCCAUCUAGUUAUGCUAGAUACUGUAUACUGAAUUCAUAGGUAUAUGGAGGUACACCUGGGGAACUGAAACAUCUAAGUACCCAGAGGAAGAGAAAGAAAAUUCGAUUCCCUAAGUAGCGGCGAGCGAAAGGGGAAGAGCCCAAACCAGGAACUUGUUCCUGGGGUUGCGGAUAGGUCAUAACGCUUUGAUUUCUUUAGUUGAAGAGAACUGGAAAGUUCCGUCGUAGAAGGUAAUAACCCUGUAGGCGAAAAGGAAAGAAAAGUAGAUCUACUCCAGAGUACCACGAGACACGUGAAACCUUGUGGGAAGCUGGGAGGACCAUCUCCCAAGGCUAAAUACUACCUAGUGACCGAUAGUGAAGCAGUACCGUGAGGGAAAGGUGAAAAGAACCCCGGAAGGGGAGUGAAAUAGAAUCUGAAACCGUGUGCCUACAAUCGGUCGGAGCACAUUAAAGUGUGACGGCGUACUUUUUUGUAGAACGGGCCAGCGAGUUACGAUAUAUAGCAAGGUUAAGCACUUAUGGUGUGGAGCCGAAGGGAAACCGAGUCU